CAGGCCUGAGCACAUGCAAGUCGAACGCCCCGCAAGGGGAGUCACAGACGGGUGAGUAACACGUGGGAACGUACCCUUUGGUUCGGAAUAACCCUGGGAAACUAGGGCUAAUACCGGAUACGGCCGAGAGGCGAAAGGUUUACUGCCAAGGGAUCGGCCCGCGUCCGAUUAGCUAGUUGGUGUUGGUAACGGCUCACCAAGGCGACGAUCGGUAGCUGGUCUGAGAGGAUGGCCAGCCACAUUGGGACUGAGACACGGCCCAAACUCCUACGGGAGGCAGCAGUGGGGAAUAUUGGACAAUGGGCGCAAGCCUGAUCCAGCCAUGCCGCGUGAGUGAUGACGGCCUUAGGGUUGUAAAGCUCUUUUACCUGGGAAGAUAAUGACGGUACCAGGAAAAUAAGCCCCGGCUAACUUCGUGCCAGCAGCCGCGGUAAU
rnacentral:rRNA from 1 species